rnacentral:rRNA from 14 species
UUUUUUUUAAUUUUUUAAUUUUUUAAUAAAAAGUUUUGAAAUUAAAUCAACACAAAUUCUGGAU